AUGGAGAAGUACGUAGCAUUGGAGCGUAAUGAUGUCCUUGGAGAGUUCUCAUGCAGUACAGUUCAGAAUCGGAGUCAUUGCUCUUUGAAGGAAGAAAAGCUCCACGCAGAUAACAAUCAGCAAGUUGCGGUCACCUUAUCCAAAUAUUGCGCAUAUUUGAUGUCCUUCAUCCCAGAUUUGCUUCCUGGGAACUCUACGGACACAAUGUUUCUCUUCAGUUGCGUGCAAUGGGAAGUAAGACAGAUGCUUCGAAGGGGAUGCCGAGUAUGGAUAGAUUGCUCAAAGUUGUCGAUGAUUCUGAAGGUAGCAGCAAUGAACAUACUGCUCUCCACGGUUCCAGAAGCAUAUCAAGCGGCAACAACCCCGAGGAUACAAACCCCACAGUUCCACUUCCACAAAUAA
rnacentral:rRNA from 1 species